rnacentral:piRNA from 1 species
UGUUAAUUAAGGGUCAUUCAUAUUCAAGA